CUCAGAGGCUGCGUUUACACUUUGGCGUUAACAUAAGCGAUCUGUAUCCGGAUUUUGUCAAUUUAUGGGACACAAAGCCUGAUACCUUGCUGGGCACUUCUACACUUCUUCCUUACUUCUACAGCACUUCUCAAAAUCAACCUGAAGAUUCAAUCAAAGAUUCAUUCAGCAAGUGCAUAAUGCCACGAUCAAAGGAAAUUCCAGAAGAUGUAAA